UACGAAGGAGGCUAGCGUUGCUCGGAAUCACUGGGCGUAAAGCGCACGUAGGCGGCUUUUUAAGUCAGGGGUGAAAUCCUGGAGCUCAACUCCAGAACUGCCUUUGAUACUGAGAAGCUUGAGUCCGGGAGAGGUGAGUGGAACUGCGAGUGUAGAGGUGAAAUUCGUAGAUAUUCGCAAGAACACCAGUGGCGAAGGCGGCUCACUGGCCCGGUACUGACGCUGAGGUGCGAAAGCGUGGGGAGCAAACAGG
rnacentral:rRNA from 1 species